GUCGAGAAUUUUUCACAAUGGGCGAAAGCCUGAUGGAGCGACGCCGCGUGGGGGAUGAAUGGCUUCGGCCCGUAAACCCCUGUCAUUCGGGAUCAAUGCGCCUGACCCAACACGUCAGUCGUUGAUAGUACCGGAAGAGGAAGGGACGGCUAACUCUGUGCCAGCAGCCGCGGUAAUACAGAGGUCCCAAGCGUUGUUCGGAUUCACUGGGCGUAAAGGGUGCGUAGGCGGUCGGGUAAGUCUGGUGUGAAAUUCCGGGGCUUAACUCCGGAACGGCAUUGGAUACUAUUCGGCUAGAGCGUUGGAGGGGGGACUGGAAUUCUCGGUGUAGCAGUGAAAUGCGUAGAUAUCGAGAGGAACACCAGUGGCGAAGGCGAGUCCCUAGACAACUGCUGACGCUGAGGCACGAAAGCCAGGGGAGCAAACGGGAUUAGAUACCCGGGUAGUCC
rnacentral:rRNA from 1 species